rnacentral:miRNA from 1 species
AGGAGGCAGCGCUCUCAG